UGGGGAAUCUUCCGCAAUGGACGAAAGUCUGACGGAGCAACGCCGCGUGUAUGACGAAGGCCUUCGGGUUGUAAAGUACUGUCUUUGGGGAUGAACGGUAUCUAUGUAAAUAAUGUAGAUACAUGACGGUACCCAAGGAGGAAGCCCCGGCUAACUACGUGCCAGCAGCCGCGGUAAUACGUAGGGGGCGAGCGUUGUCCGGAAUCAUUGGGCGUAAAGGGCGCGUAGGCGGGUCAUUAAGUCUGGUGUGAAAGGCAGGGGCUCAACCCCUGGAAGGCACCGGAAACUGGUUAUCUUGAGGGACAGGGAGAGGAAAGCGGAAUUCCACGUGUAGCGGUGAAAUGCGUAGAUAUGUGGAGGAACACCAGUGGCGAAGGCGGCUUUCUGGACUGUAACUGACGCUGAGGCGCGAAAGCGUGGGGAGCAAACAGGAUUAGAUACCCUGGUAGUCCACGCCGUAAACGAUGAGUGCUAGGUGUAGAGGGUAUCGACCCCUUCUGUGCCGCAGUUAACACAAUAAGCACUCCGCCUGGGGAGUACGGCCGCAAGGUUGAAACUCAAAUGAAUUGA
rnacentral:rRNA from 1 species